AGAGCACAGGUGCGGCACACACAAGCGUCCACCACCCCAAGAAAGCUCUAAGACUGGGGCCUCCCGUGUCCCUAACUGAGAUCUCCCUGAGUGAGGAGAUGAAUUCCCAGAGAGCAGGGCUGCAAGCGCGGACUGGGCAGGAGAGGCUCCUCGUGGGCAGAUGUCUCCCUCACCGAAGCUUGGAACAGACUCCUGGUCACUCAUCUUGCUCAGUAAAUGACUUCCCAUCCUGCCAGAAGUGUUUGCUCCCUGACUAAACAGAUGUAGUCUCU
rnacentral:RNase_P_RNA from 14 species